CAAUGGCUUUAGUGGCGGACUGGUGAGUAACGCGUGAGGAACCUGCCUAACAGAGGGGAAUAACAGUGAGAAAUCAUUGCUAAUACCGCAUAUGCCAUGAACAUCACAUGAUGAAAAUGGGAAAGGAGAAAUCCGCUGAUAGAUGGACUCGCGUCUGAUUAGAUAGUUGGUGGGGCAAUGGCCUACCAAGUCAACGAUCAGUAGCCGGACUGAGAGGUUGAACGGCCACAUUGGGACUGAGAUACGGCCCAGACUCCUACGGGAGGCAGCAGUCGGGAAUAUUGCGCAAUGGAGGAAACUCUGACGCAGUGACGCCGCGUAUAGGAAGAAGGUUUUCGGAUUGUAAACUAUUGUCGUUAGGGAAGAUAAAAGACAGUACCUAAGGAGGAAGCUCCGGCUAACUACGUGCCAGCAGCCGCGGUAAUACGUAGGGAGCGAGCGUUAUCCGGAUUUAUUGGGUGUAAAGGGUGCGUAGACGGGACAGCAAGUUAGUUGUGAAAUCCCUCGGCUUAACUGAGGAACUGCAACUAAAACUGUUAUUCUUGAGUGUUGGAGAGGAAAGUGGAAUUCCUAGUGUAGCGGUGAAAUGCGUAGAUAUUAGGAAGAACACCAGUGGCGAAGGCGACUUUCUGGACAAUAACUGACGUUGAGGCACGAAAGUGUGGGGAGCAAACAGGAUUAGAUACCUGGUAGUCCACACCGUAAACGAUGGAUACUAGGUGUAGGGAACGAUUUAGUUUUCUGUGCCGUCGCAAA
rnacentral:rRNA from 1 species